AACGCACCUUGCGCUCUUUGGUUAUUCCGAAGAGCAUGCUUGUUUGAGUGUCGCGACCCCCUCAACCCCGCCCCAAUUUCGAUUGGUGGUUGUUUGGGCUUUGAAUCAUGGUCUUUUGCCAGGCUUUGCUCGAAGCUUGCUUUGGCUGGACUGAAAUAUAGACAGGCUGUAUAGUGACUGAAAGCGGCUUGACCUGACGUGGUAGAUAUCAUCGUUGGGGACGCUUUCAAAAAUGCUAAGGAGCUUUUAGUAAAAUCACCCACUAUUUCGAUAGUGCAAUCUGACCUCAAAUCAAGUAGGACUACCCGCUGAACUUAA
rnacentral:misc_RNA from 1 species